rnacentral:lncRNA from 1 species
GGUGUGCCACCACCCCGAUGGCCUGAGGAUUGCCCAGGGAGAGGGUGAUGGAUCCAGCGCCACAGGGUCGGAGAUCACUUUGCGAGCUGCAGGCAUGCCAAACCUUCACUUUGGUGACAUAAUGAGUGUCAGGGUCUCCAUUGCGGGCUAGACUUUCAUAUUAACCCUAGGCUCAAAAAACCUCAUCCUCGACACAGUAACAGCACCAUUGGCCUGCUCCAACUUGACCCAGCUGACCCCCAUCCCCAGCGAUGAGAUAAACAGUGGACAGCCCAAUCCAUGCCAACAACAGGCCCAGCACCAGGCUGCGCUGGGAUGUCGCUAUGGCCACUGCUCUAAAGAUGCUGCUGCUGUACACCCUGGGCAGGUUUGUGUAUGGAGUCUACCCCCUGAAUAACUUCUCUCCAGAGACAGACCAGGACAUAAAAUAAUGUGUGCUCUUGAUUCUGGUCAAGCAGCUCUUGAUUCUGGUCCAGGAGGCGAUUGCCAAAGCCCUGAGGCGAAAACUGAGGAUGCUCUCUGAGCUCAACCAAGGCCAUGGCCCGCUGGAGCUCCAGCUGGUAGACAUGCUCUUCAGUCACUAUGAGGAGGAGUUCCCUUCACAACACCCCCUGGAGCCAGAGGUCUUCCUGGAGGACCUCCAUCUCUGCUUGGAUGUGUAUGGCAUGGUGAGCAGGGUGCUGCUCCAAUGCUGGACCCCCAUGGUGAAAUUCAGAGAAAUUUUCUCUGACAUCAGGGAGAUCAUCCCCAGACUUCAGCUCCAGUUGACUCGCUGAGGGAGCCUUUCUGACUUUACUCUACACGAGCCUUAAAUUGAUACUCGCAGCGAGUCUGCUGAUGAAAAUGAGGAAGAGCUGCAGCUCUUAAAGGGCUGAUGGAAAGGAGAAAAGGUGAAGGAAAGAGUCUGUGACUUCUACCGCAGAGUAUGGAAGAGAUUAAAGUCCUGCACUACCCUUGGCUGUGUGAGCUCUAACUAAAUCACUAGACUCAAAUGAGACUGGACCACCACCACAAUGACCAAUUCAGUUCACUCUGGUCUGAGCUCCAGUUCAGUCUGGUUACAGAUUUUUGCGUAAUAUUUUUGUCAAUUGAAACUUCUAAAAAGUUUAUUGUAAU